rnacentral:rRNA from 1 species
AUUGAACGCUGGCGGCAGGCUUAACACAUGCAAGUCGAGCGGGGGAAGGUAGCUUGCUACCGGACCUAGCGGCGGACGGGUGAGUAAUGCUUAGGAAUCUGCCUAUUAGUGGGGGACAACAUCUCGAAAGGGAUGCUAAUACCGCAUACGUCCUACGGGAGAAAGCAGGGGAUCUUCGGACCUUGCGCUAAUAGAUGAGCCUAAGUCGGAUUAGCUAGUUGGUGGGGUAAAGGCCUACCAAGGCGACGAUCUGUAGCGGGUCUGAGAGGAUGAUCCGCCACACUGGGACUGGGACACGGCCCAGACUCCUACGGGAGGCAGCAGUGGGGAAUAUUGGACAACGGGGGGAACCCUGAUCCAGCCAUGCCGCGUGUGUGAAGAAGGCCUUAUGGUUGUAAAGCACUUUAAGCGAGGAGGAGGCUACUCUAGUUAAUACCUAGGGAUAGUGGACGUUACUCGCAGAAUAAGCACCGGCUAACUCUGUGCCAGCCGCCGCCGUAA